GUCGUUGAUUUCACACUGCCGAGAAAAGCCUCUAGAUAGAAAAUAGGUGCCCGUACCGCAAACCGACACAGGUAGUCAAGAUGAGAAUUCUAAGGUGAGCGAGCGAACUCUCGUUAAGGAACUCGGCAAAAUGACCCCGUAACUUCGGGAGAAGGGGUGCUCUUUAGGGUUAACGCCCAGAAGAGCCGCAGUGAAUAGGCCCAAGCGACUGUUUAUCAAAAACACAGGUCUCUGCUAAACCGUAAGGUGAUGUAUAGGGGCUGACGCCUGCCCGGUGCUGGAAGGUUAAGAGGAGUGGUUAGCUUCUGCGAAGCUACGAAUCGAAGCCCCAGUAAACGGCGGCCGUAACUAUAACGGUCCUAAGGUAGCGAAAUUCCUUGUCGGGUAAGUUCCGACCCGCACGAAAGGCGUAACGAUUUGGGCACUGUCUCAACGAGAGACUCGGUGAAAUCAUAGUACCUGUGAAGAUGCAGGUUACCCGCGACAGGACGGAAAGACCCCGUGGAGCUUUACUGUAGCCUGAUAUUGAAAUUCGGCACAGCUUGUACAGGAUAGGUAGGAGCCUUUGAAACGUGAGCGCUAGCUUACGUGGAGGCGCUGGUGGGAUACUACCCUAGCUGUGUUGGCUUUCUAACCCGCACCACUUAUCGUGGUGGGAGACAGUGUCAGGCGGGCAGUUUGACUGGGGCGGUCGCCUCCUAAAAGGUAACGGAGGCGCUCAAAGGUUCCCUCAGAAUGGUUGGAAAUCAUUCAUAGAGUGUAAAGGCAUAAGGGAGCUUGACUGCGAGACCUACAAGUCGAGCAGGGUCGAAAGACGGACUUAGUGAUCCGGUGGUUCCGCAUGGAAGGGCCAUCGCUCAACGGAUAAAAGCUACCCCGGGGAUAACAGGCUUAUCUCCCCCAAGAGUUCACAUCGACGGGGAGGUUUGGCACCUCGAUGUCGGCUCAUCGCAUCCUGGGGCUGUAGUCGGUCCCAAGGGUUGGGCUGUUCGCCCAUUAAAGCGGUACGCGAGCUGGGUUCAGAACGUCGUGAGACAGUUCGGUCCCUAUCCGUCGUGGGCGUAGGAAAUUUGAGAGGAGCUGUCCUUAGUACGAGAGGACCGGGAUGGACAUACCUCUGGUGUACCAGUUGUCGUGCCAACGGCAUAGCUGGGUAGCUAUGUGUGGACGGGAUAAGUGCUGAAAGCAUCUAAGCAUGAAGCCCCCCUCAAGAUGAGAUUUCCCAACUUCGGUUAUAAGAUCCCUCAAAGAUGAUGAGGUUAAUAGGUUCGAGGUGGAAGCAUGGUGACAUGUGGAGCUGACGAAUACUAAUCGAUCGAAGACUUAAUCAA
rnacentral:rRNA from 2 species